CUGCUUGCUUGGGCAGCACAUAGACUAAAAUUGGAAUAAUACAGAGAUUGGCAUGGCUCCUGUGCAAGGAUGACACACAGAUUUGUGAAGCGUUUGGUAUUUUU
ensembl:snRNA U6 U6 spliceosomal RNA